ACGGGUGCGGAACACGUGUGCAACCUGCCUUUAUCUGGGGGAUAGCCUUUCGAAAGGAAGAUUAAUACCCCAUAAUAUACUGAAUGGCAUCAUUCGGUAUUGAAAACUCCGGUGGAUAGAGAUGGGCACGCGCAAGAUUAGAUAGUUGGUGAGGUAACGGCUCACCAAGUCUACGAUCUUUAGGGGGCCUGAGAGGGUGAUCCCCCACACUGGUACUGAGACACGGACCGGACUCCUACGGGAGGCAGCAGUGAGGAAUAUUGGACAAUGGGUGAGAGCCUGAUCCAGCCAUCCCGCGUGAAGGACGACGGCCCUAUGGGUUGUAAACUUCUUUUGUAUAGGGAUAAACCUACCCUCGUGAGGGUAGCUGAAGGUACUAUACGAAUAAGCACCGGCUAACUCCGUGCCAGCAGCCGCGGUAAUACGGAGGGUGCAAGCGUUAUCCGGAUUUAUUGGGUUUAAAGGGUCCGUAGGCGGAUCUGUAAGUCAGUGGUGAAAUCUCACAGCUUAACUGUGAAACUGCCAUUGAUACUGCAGGUCUUGAGUGUUGUUGAAGUAGCUGGAAUAAGUAGUGUAGCGGUGAAAUGCA
rnacentral:rRNA from 1 species